AUGCUGAUACUCAGCAUCUGUUUUAUUUGGGGAGCAUUUCUAAUAGACCUGAGUCAUGGAGAUUCUGUCACUCAGUCACUAACGUCUGAUGUUCGGACAGAAGGAGACUUGAUGACUCUACACUGUUCCUACGAUACUGCAUUGAACUAUUACUGGCUAUAUUGGUACAGACAGCACCCAGAUACGCAGCCCGAAUUUAUAAUGCUGAAGUAUUCUGGAGGUAGCGAGAGUAAAGCACAAUUUGCCUUACAUCGUUUCUCGAUGGAACUCGAGAAGGACAACAAACUCACUAGUUUAACUGUCUCAGGACUGCAGCUGACCGACGGUGCCAUGUAUUAUUGCGCUUUCAAACUCACAGCGGUAGAAUCUUUUCCAAACAUCGUACAAAAACCUUUGGUGGAAGCCACUGCCUGUUCCCCUUUGUGCAGAAUCGCAAGCAGAUAUAACCGCAAAGAGAAACACAAUAUCAGGUGUUCAGCCAGAUAG